GGGAGGCUCAGGGACCUACGAGACGUCGAUGUGAUCUGUUCAAGAAUUGCAAAGGUGUGGUGACUACGAGGAAAUUCAACGGUGUUCUGACAGAAUGGACCAAAUGAGGACUCACUUUCGGGUGGUUCAUCUUAGAAGUUGUAUAUUUUAAAGCUUCCGAACUGUGUAAAUGGUUACGUCACUCUCACGUGACGGCCAGCAUGCCCUCCUUCGGGACGGGGUGUGUCACUCAUGC